GUCCAUUUUCAGAAAAAUGCGCACCGCGCACACACACAUACACCCGUGCGCGCACAUGCACACUUUCAGAAUUUUGUCUUUUUGGCAUGCACUCUUUAAACACUACAAACUUUAUGCCAUAUUUCAUGGUUGGUCACUUUGGUCACCCCUCCAUGCCAAAGUUCAGGCUUGGCUCGGCACAGUUCUGAGAAGAUAAAAGCCUCUUCAGACUUGUCUUCCCACAUAGAUGAACCUGCGAUCCAGCCCAAAUACAGUUUAUUCCUGUCAGCGUCAUGGCAGGCAAAGCUAGGAGUUUUUAUUUUUCAGUGUUUAACACCAAGCCCUAUCGUCUCCAACUGAAUCAUCAAAAGACAGCUGAAGAGAGACAGGAAAUGUGGGGAGUAGUGAGCGGGGGAAG